rnacentral:rRNA from 1 species
AUUGAACGCUGGCGGCAGGCCUAACACAUGCAAGUCGAGCGAGCGGCGGACGGGUGAGUAAUGUCUGGGAAACUGCCUGAUGGAGGGGGAUAACUACUGGAAACGGUGGCUAAUACCGCAUACUAUCGGCUGAGCCCAUAUGGGAUUAGCUAGUGGGUGGGGUAAAGGCUCACCUAGGCGACGAUCCCUAGCUGGUCUGAGAGGAUGACCAGCCACACUGGGACUGAGACACGGCCCAGACUCCUACGGGAGGCAGCAGUGGGGAAUAUUGCACAAUGGGCGCAAGCCUGAUGCAGCCAUGCCGCGUGUAUGAAGAAGGCCUUAGGGUUGUAAAGUACUUUCAGCGGGGAGGCGUUACCCGCAGAAGAAGCACCGGCUAACUCCGUGCCAGCAGCCGCGGUAAUAC